AGUGUUCCCAGAGAGCUGCAGCCCAACCUUCAUUUCUCAGGGGACAGCACUGUUAUUUAUUCAGACAUUUUGUUCCAGGCUUUUAUUGCUCUGUUUUAUAUGGUAGGCGAGGUCAGAGCCUUUGUAAUAUAGGAACAGCAUGGCCAAGAUAUCUCUCCAAAGGACAAGCACAAUGUGCAGAAGUUUCAAAUAUGUUGUGGCAUAACAUAAGGGAAAGAAUGUCGUGUUUUUCACCUGGACACUUAUUUCAGCCAUAGGGAGAUGAAUAAAAUUGGUAGUGGAUGGGGGGGAAAGAAUUUGUUCUUUUCAAUCUUUUUCCCUAUUUUUAACAACAUAAAAAGUGAUGUUAUUUUGGUGGUAAAUCACUGGUCUCUAGGCUGUGUGUGGACUAGUAUCAAUCUGCAGUUUCUCGCAGAUUAAAAGCACAUUAAACAAGCUGAAUCGAAAGCCAUCAAUAUUGCUUACACAAGAAGUUAGGCUCUAGAAUAGCUGCUCAAUUUUAACUCACUUAACUUGCUUCAAUGGACACAACUCCCCCUCAGGAAAGCAAAUUUAUAUCUUUUUUUUCUUCUUUUAUCUAACUGGUUGGGCCGAAGGAGGCAAAUAUAAAGAUUGAAGACAAAGAAAAAGAAUGAAGACAAAGAAAGAAAAAGGAAAAAAGAAAAAGACCCUUCUUCAGCAAGUUAUCUUUCCUUUAGCAGGUUUGCAACUGGAAUCUGACACAGAAAGUACCAAGACAAAGUGGCACCAAGCUCUGUCGUGUUCCUGUUUUAUGGUUGUAGGAAAGUUGUGGAAGGAAAGCACCAUGAGCUUCAUUCUUUUUGAAGAGAAGAUGUGAAACCAAUCUGUGAAGGAGGGAAAACUGUCAAAGAACAGGGGAAAGGUUUCCACAG
rnacentral:lncRNA from 1 species